AGAGUUGAUCAUGGCUCAGGAUGAACGCUAGCGACAGGCUUAACACAUGCAAGUCGAGGGGCAGCAUAAAAGUAGCAAUACUUGGUGGCGACCGGCGCGACGGGUGAGUAACGCGUAUGCAACCUACCUAUCAGGAGGGGAAUAACCCGGCGAAAGUCGGACUAAUACCGCAUAAAACAGGGGCACCGCAUGGUGAUAUUUGUUAAAGAAAUUCGCUGAUAGAUGGGCAUGCGUUCCAUUAGGUAGUUGGUGAGGUAACGGCUCACCAAGCCGACGAUGGAUAGGGGAACUGAGAGGUUGGUCCCCCACACUGGUACUAAGACACGGACCAGACUCCUACGGGAGGCAGCAGUGAGGAAUAUUGGUCAAUGGGCGGGAGCCUGAACCAGCCAAGUCGCGUGAAGGAAGAAGGAUCUAUGGUUCGUAAACUUCUUUUGCAGGGGAAUAAAGUGCAGGACGUGUCCUGUUUUGUAUGUACCCUGAGAAUAAGGAUCGGCUAACUCCGUGCCAGCCGCAGC
rnacentral:rRNA from 1 species